AGAAAGAAAAAGUGGAAAGUGAAUCUUCCUCCAAGCUAAGAGAGGUACGACUGAGUGUUCAAAUCCUCUCUUGUGGGUAAAGAUUAAUCAAUGUUUGCCAUUGUGCGAUGAUAGUUUCUCACGAAUUCCAAUUGCCGCACAAGUGUUAACAUAUCUUGGACGAUUUGGACCUCAAGCAUUGGAGCGGAUCUGAUCUGCUAUAGGUAUUUCUCUACCACUUCGAGUAACAAUUCAAACUUUAUCCAUCAAAGAUUUAAUGAUAAUGCUCUCAUCUUCACCUUCAUCUUCACUGCUCAUCCUCACUUCUCUACUGUGACGGGUGCUUAUUUUCAUCCUCUAUGGUUCGGAAGGUCCAGUUAGCUGUCGAGGACAAGAUCCCAAAUCGGAGGGAAUAGAAUCUGGCAAUCUAAUGUUGAAGCGAGCCACCUCAGUUGAAGUACUGAUAUCAGGUAUACUAACACCAUUUAAAAUAAUUAUCCAAUUCAUUAUCUAUCCUUCAAUGGAAUGAAUCCCUCAAUAGGAAUUAAUACCACCAUAAAAAUCUAGAUAUUGAGCUGGACUACUAUUUCAAAUCUGUUAUGCUUGGGAAAGACUUCUGAUUGAGUUAAACCAAGUUCGGCUUAGUUGAGAGUUAUGAAUGAUGCUUUUAAGUCCUGGUUUAGUACCAAAUGAACACCUCAAAGCUCUCACCAGAUGUAAGGUACUGUCAACCAAUCAAAAUUUCUUCAAACUUAACUAGACAUCGAUCCAACCAUUUUCUUUGUAUCCUUACUUGUAACUCAAUAAUAUAAUUUGUGCAAUUGAUAAUGAACCUUCUAUCUCUUAACUGGAACUAUUUGAAUGGUUCAUUUGUUUAAUUCUCA
rnacentral:lncRNA from 1 species